rnacentral:rRNA from 1 species
UAGGGAAUAUUAGAAAUGGACGAAAGUCUGAUCUAGCAACACCGCGUGUGCGAAGAAGGCCUUCGGGUUGUAAAGCACUUUUUGGAAGGAUUAGGAAGGAAUGUACUUCCAGAAUAAGUCUCGGCUAACUACGUGCCAGCAGCCGCGGUAACACGUAGGAGGCAAACGUUAUCCGGAUUUACUGGGCGUAAAGCGCGUGUAGGUGGUUCUGUAAGUAGGGCGUGAAAGCUCCUGGCUCAACUGGGAGAGGCCGUUCUAAACUGCAGAGCUAGAGGAUGGUAGAGGGAGGUGGAAUUCCGGGUGUAGCGGUGGAAUGCGCAGAUAUCCGGAGGAACACCAGUGGCGAAAGCGGCCUCCUGGACCAUUCCUGACACUCAGACGCGAAAGCUAGGGUAGCAA